rnacentral:rRNA from 1 species
UACGUAGGUGGCAAGCGUUUGUUCGGAUUUACUGGGCGUAAAGGGCGCGUAGGCGGUCAGCACAAAGUUCAAUUGUGAAAAUCUCCGAGCUUAACUCGGAAAGGUCAACUGAAACUGUGCGACUAGAGUGCGGAAGGGGCAACUGGAAUUCUUGGUGUAGCGGUGAAAUGCGUAGAUAUCAAGAGGAACACCUGCGGCGAAGGCGGGUUGCUGGGCCGAUACUGACGCUGAGGAGCGAAAGCGUGGGGAGCGAACAGG